AGCUCUUUAACAAUUUGGAAAGCUGACUGAUUUAACUAACUUACGAGUUAGAUAAAUCAAAAUUUAAAAGUUCUUAAUAUCUUUUGUUUAUCUUUAGAUAAACAAAUUAAAAACACAUUCAAGUGUUCUUGUAUUUUGAAUCCGGCGAAAAACCAGAACUCUCAAUGAAGAGUUCAACCUUGGUUGUUUAUGCCAUACGAAACCUCUUGGGGUUGUAU
rnacentral:misc_RNA from 1 species